UACAUGUGGGGCGAGCGUUGUUCGGAAUUACUGGGCAUAAAGGGUGCGUAGGCGGCAUGAUACGCCUUGGGUGAAAUCCUGCGGCCCAACCGCGGGUCUGCCUGAGAUACGGUCAAGCUGGAGUGCGUGAGGGGUGACUGGAACGCGUGGUGUAGCGGUGAAAUGCGUAGAUAUCACGCGGAAGGCCAACGGCGAAGGCAGGUCACUGGCACGCAACUGACGCUGAGUGCACGAAAGCGUGGGGAGCAAACAGG
rnacentral:rRNA from 1 species